UACGUAGGGGGCGAGCGUUGUCCGGAUUUACUGGGCGUAAAGCGUCCGUAGGCGGCUGAUUGCGUCGGGUGUGAAAGCUCCCUGCUCAACGGGGAGAGGUCAUCCGAUACGGGUCGGCUGGAGGGCAGUAGAGGGGGGACGGAAUUCCCGGAGUAGUGGUGAUAUGCGUAGAGACCGGGAGGAACACCGGGUGGGCGAAGGCGGUCCCCUGGGCUGUCCCUGACGCUGAUGGGACGAAAGCGUGGGGAGCGAACCGGAUAGCAAACCGUG
rnacentral:rRNA from 1 species